rnacentral:rRNA from 1 species
AUGUUGGACGCGAGCCCGCCGGGUGAUGGAGGAGGCGACGGCAUCGGCGGCUUUGGCGGUGUCAGGGAGCAGGACAGGUUCCUGCCCAUCGCCAACAUCAGCCGCAUCAGGAAGAAGGCCAUCCCGGCCAAUGGCAAGAUUGCCAAGGACGCCAAGGAGACCAUGCAUGAGUGCGUCUUUGAGUUCAUCUGCUUCAUCACCAGCGAGGCGAGUGACAAGUGCUAGAGGAAGAAGCGCCAGACCAUCAACGGUGACGACCUGCUCUAGGCGAAUGCCAUGCUGGGCUUUGUGGACUAUAUCGAGCCCCUCAAGGUUUAUCUGUAGAACUACAGAUAG